rnacentral:lncRNA from 1 species
GAGCAAAAUUUUGUUGGCAGAGAACAUUCAAGCCGACGGAUAAACUAAAGGUCGGCGAAAACAUGCCAGUUCAUCAUCAAGAGAGGGGCGCAAAUUAUUAAUUCCUUCCCGCCCCUUUAUUUUUUGUCUUUUCGAUUCCCCCACUUAAUUUUUUCAUCGAAAGAAUUUUCCCCUUAAAUCUUUAGAUACAAUGUUUGACAAACCCUAUUAUUUGUGGAUAACCGUCCCCUCUUCUUUCUCUCUUUCACAAGGCGCCGCUCUUCGCUUUCCGUCGACUUUGUUUUUUUUUUUUUUUUCUCGCCGUUGUAGUGGCUUCAUCUACUCUCCAUUGCUGCUGAUGUUGCCAUCGAAGGGCCCCUGCUAUUCUAGCUUCGACGUCUCCAAUACAGAGUGUUUCUCUUCAUUUCGUUUCUCUUAAACGUUUGGGUAAUGUUUUCAACCCUAUCUAUUCUAAUUUUUUCUCUCAGCUCUCUAUUUAAUCUCAAUUUUAUGGUUCCUUCCUUAUACUGUUUUUCCCCUAUAAUUUUGAGGGGUUUUAGGCAAUGAUUUGAUUGAGGAUCCUUAGUUAGGGUUUAUAGUUUCUCUUUCUGGGUUUCUGGGAUUGAGGAUGCUUAAUCCAUGUUCUGGAAAUUACUUUUAACUUCAAUUUAUGGAAAACUUCAAUUAAUCUGCAAUAGUAGUUAUAUAGUUAAAAUUGAUUGUGAGUCUUUGCAAUAUAAUAAUCAACUUCUCUAUGUAAUCAAUUGAAAUUUGGUCAUGGUACUUGUGAGAUUGUCAUUUUCUGUAUAUUUUACUAUUUCAGUAUAAUAAACAGUUUUUUUUUUAAAUUUUUUUAAUUUUUAAAAUUCCAAGCUUGACAUUGAAACUGAAUUAGCAAGAAAAAUGGUCCCAAAAUGUUAAGAGCAAUGAAAUAGCGUUGAUGGGGUGGUGUGAGUAAUGGCAACCAUAUACUUGAUAACAACUUCUUACAGUUACAAGUGCCUUGUGAUGGUGAAUUCUUAUUUUAAAGUAUGUUGUAGUUUGUAUUGUUCUUGUUUGUGAAUUCUUAUUUACAAGUGCCUUGUGAUGGUGAAUUCUUAUUCUAAAAUUGGGAAUGAUCUUUUUCUGGUUUCUGAAUUCUUAACCAAUUUGAGCAGGCUGUAAUGUCAUGCCUAUUCAAAAGUGAACAAAGGUAAGGUUGUGAUUUUAUUAUCAAUUUAAAAAAUGUGGUUUAGUAUUGUUUUGGCAUUUUGGUGAAAUGGGUUUGUUUGUACCUAACUGCAAACCUUUUGUUGCUCAUGAUUUAAUGGUUGACUGAGUAUCCAUGCUUAACAUACUUUAAUCAUUUUUUUUGCAACAUGUAUUCAUGUGGCUAAAAUUCUGUGAUUAGUUUUCUUCCUUGAAACUUUUGAUUAGUUUAAUUCUAUUCGAAUAAGAAUUAUUUCUUUAUGCAACAUAUAUACCUUUUGGUUUGUUGGUAAGGAAUUAUUUACUAAAGGUGGUUUUAUAGGAACUGCUUAUGAUUAGAAUGAAUUAGCAAAUUUUUCAUACAAUUGUCAAUACUAAAGUUACAGAAUGAAUCUAUGGAUGUAAGUUUCCUUACAAACUUAGACUUGAAAGUGUUUCUUUGAAAGUUUGCAAGUUUUAUUCCUCUUCGCUGACAAAAAUUCAUACAUUGGCAGCUUGUGACAUACUAACUUGUAGUAGUAGAGGGAAAGGCUUGUUAUCAUGGACAAAGAAUGCGUUCACCAGUCAAGGUUAAUUCAAAUCCCUGAACCCUUAAAUGCUAUUGUACAAUUGUAUGUGUCGGUUUGGAGCAUGUUGUAACAACUACUACUUUGUAUUGAAAGCCUUUAUUCACCAUGUAGUUGUUUAUACCAUAUUUAGGGUCUCGUAUUUAGAUCUCGUACAAAUACUCGAGGGACUUAAAUGUAAUUAUGUGAUAAAGGAAGGGGCAAAUAUGUAAUAAGUGAGGAGUCCUUAUUUUAUAAAAGGACCCCUCACCCUCACAAUUAAAUGAGGCCAUUUCUAGAGCCUUCUCACACCUCUCACAUCUCCUCUCAUUAUAGAGGUUAUCUCCCUCACCUCUCAGAUAAAUACAAUACAAUCAAUGUGGACGUAGCUCAAACCUUGGGGUGAACCACAAUACAUCUUGUGUUAUUUACAUUUCUUGCAGAUUCACGGUCGGAUUUACGUUGUUUCAAGAUCUCCGGUUUUGUGCAUCAACAUUUGGCGCCGUCUGUAGGAAAUGACACAAAAAGCUAUGUCGGUUCUCUUUCAUUUUUUUCAUUUCACCACCAUGAAUCUGCAGAAACCAAGAACCCAAAACUUUUCCAGAAAACCCACGGAGCCACCUCCUCUCUCACUCAGUCUCUCUCUGCAACUGCAAGACAGAACCCAUGGAGCCACCUCAUCUGCUUGCUCUGUAUUUCUUUUUUUG